AACGCUAGCUACAGGCUUAACACAUGCAAGUCGAGGGGAAACGAUAUUGGAAGCUUGCUUCCGAUAGGCGUCGACCGGCGCACGGGUGAGUAACGCGUAUCCAACCUGCCCACCACUUGGGGAUAACCUUGCGAAAGUAAGACUAAUACCCAAUGACGUCUCUAGAAGACAUCUGAAAGAGAUUAAAGAUUUAUCGGUGAUGGAUGGGGAUGCGUCUGAUUAGCUUGUUGGCGGGGUAACGGCCCACCAAGGCGACGAUCAGUAGGGGUUCUGAGAGGAAGGUCCCCCACAUUGGAACUGAGACACGGUCCAAACUCCUACGGGAGGCAGCAGUGAGGAAUAUUGGUCAAUGGACGAGAGUCUGAACCAGCCAAGUAGCGUGCAGGAAGACGGCCCUAUGGGUUGUAAACUGCUUUUAUAAGGGAAUAAAGUGAGAGUCGUGACUCUUUUUGCAUGUACCUUAUGAAUAAGGACCGGCUAAUUCCGUGCCAGCAGCCGCGGUAAUACGGAAGGUCCGGGCGUUAUCCGGAUUUAUUGGGUUUAAAGGGAGCGUAGGCCGGAGAUUAAGCGUGUUGUGAAAUGUAGAUGCUCAACAUCUGCACUGCAGCGCGAACUGGUUUCCUUGAGUACGCACAAAGUGGGCGGAAUUCGUGGUGUAGCGGUGAAAUGCUUAGAUAUCACGAAGAACUCCGAUUG
rnacentral:rRNA from 1 species